GCGAUGCAUUUAGCUAGUUGGUAAGGUAAACGGGCGUUACCAAGGCGAUGAUGCAUAGCCCGAGUUGAGAGACUGAUCGGCCACAUUGGGGACUGAGACACGGGCCCAAACUCCUACGGGAGGCAGCAGUAGGGAAUCUUCCACAAUGGACGAAAGUCUGAUGGAGCAAACGCCGCGUGAGUGAAGAAGGUUUUCGGAUCGUAAAGCUCUGUUGUUGGUGAAGAAGGAUAGAGGUAGUAACUGGCCCUUUAUUUGACGGUAAUCAACCAGAAAGUCACGGGCUAACUACGUGCCAGCAGCCGCGGUAAAU
rnacentral:rRNA from 1 species